AGCUCCAAUAGCGUAUAUUAAAGUUGCUGCAGUUAAAAAGCUCGUAGUUGGAUCUCGGGGUACCUGGUCUAGCCGGUAUAGCUCACGCUAAAACUGGUCUGACCCCCCAACGUGAGGUAUUCGUCUCCGGGUGCACUUCAUUGGGUGCUCGUGAGGGGCCUCGUAGUUACUGUGAAAAAAUUAGAGUGUUCAAAGCAGGCUCAUAUGUUCGGAUAGUCGUGCAUGGAAUAACUGACUCCGCGACUGGCGAUUUUCAGUUGGUCUCGGCGACUGGUCCAAUGAUUAAGCGGGACUGCCGGGGGCAUUGGUAUGGCGGGGUUAGAGGUGAAAUUCUUGGAUCAUCGUCAGACCAACAAAAGCGAAAGCAUUUGCCACGAAUGUCUUCA
rnacentral:rRNA from 1 species